UACGGGUGUGUCAAGCGUUGUUCGGAAUCACUGGGCAUAAAGGGCGUGUAGGCGGAUCGCUAAGUCAGCUGUGAAAUCCCACGGCCCAACUGUGGAACUGCAGUUGAUACUGGCGGUCUUGAGUUCGGAAGGGGAGAGCGGAACUCCUGGUGGAGCGGUGAAAUGCGUAGAUAUCAGGGGGAACAACGGAGGCGAAGGCGGCUCUCUAGUCCGAUACUGACGCUGAGGCGCGAAAGCCAGGGGAGCGAACGGGAUUAGAUACCCCCGUA
rnacentral:rRNA from 1 species